AUUUACCACAUUUGCUAAUUUAACAAGCAAAUUACGUUUAAAUGAACUAGUAGAUAGGUAAACAGAAUAAUAUACACAAGAUUGGUCUAAAGAGCUCCAAUGUUUCAGUUUUAUGUUCGCUAGCAAACCACCGCGUUGGUUGAAUCAGAAGCCUUUUGUCGCUGUUGAAGAAGCCUCCAGUUCCGUCCACUAGAUUAUACGUCACGGAGAGGCGCUGAAGAUGGCGGCGAGUGCAGAUGAGAUUUCGGCUUGCUCCGAGUAACCUUAACUUUUAUCCCUCUCAAACUUACUUAAAUGUAACGGAACUUGGCUUAUAGUAAACACAAUAGAGAACAACGCAUAGUUGACCGCUAAUUUGAUCUGAAACUUUGAGAAAUGGAAGAAAAAAUGUGCGAAAGAGCAAAGGGAGGAGAAGGCAGUUGCUAACUGAGCACUCAUACAUUGGAGAAAAGCCGCCACCUGACUCCUCGGGAGAAGAAAUGGAUUCUGGACAUUCGGUUGAUUCUGAAAAUGCAGUCAAUAGUCCUGCACCCAAAAAGACAGAAAGAAUUGUCUUUACGCGAACUACAGGUCAACAUAAUUGACGCUGUCUCUGCAAAGAUAAACGAAAGAGCCGAGGGUCUGGAGAAAAUGAUACGCGAAAACACAUCAAAAAUAGUUGACCUCGAGACCUCUGAAUCAUGCAUACAAAAGUGUCGAAGAGCUUAAACUUGCAAACACUGCUACAUCUGAGAAAUGCACUGCUCAGGAGAAGACCUUUGCAGACAUGCAAGAGCGCUUAGGACCAGGAUGAGAAUGUGAAGCGCUUAGUAAGAGACAUCUGUAACCGUGUGGCACCGGACUUCCCCGAUGGAUAUAUGGAUAUGGCUGUGGAUGUCGCUCAUCGUAUUGGGAAGAAACAAGAUGCCUUCGUCAGCCGCUCGAUCAUCAUCCAGUUUGCUUUUCGCACAGCGAGAGAUGCAGUUUGGAAGAAAGCAACGGAAAGCGCCUUUCUGAAAGAGAGAACUUAGAUUCGAUGAGGACUUGACUGCAGCAGACAAUGCAGCAAAGGCUAAAUUGUGGCCUCUUGUACAACAGGCCCGAAAUCAAGGAAAGGGUGGAUACUACAGGGGAAUCAGAGCCUUUUUCGCCAACGGAAAAGAAAUACGACCAGGGUGAUUUGUUCUGUCAGUAGGUUUACAAGGAGAAAGACCAGACUCGCAGGAACCAGAGCCAGAGACGUCCAAACCAUCAAGACGACACCUGUGCUCCCACUGUGGAAAGUGUUGUAACCAGUUACGGGACCUGAAACAACAUGAGAGAAUACAUACAGGAGAAAAGCCAUACCACUGCUCCCAGUGUGGAAAGAGUUUUAACCAGAAAGGAUACCUGAUACAACAUGCAAGAAUACACACAGGGGAGAAGCUUUACCACUGCUCCAAGUGUGGGAGGGGUUGUAACCAGUUAAGAAACCUGAAAAUACAUGAGAGAAUACAUACAGGAGAAAAGCCGUAUCACUGCUCCGAGUGUGGAAAGAGUUUUACCCACUUAUGUGGCCUAAAAACACACAAGAGAAUACACACAGGGGAGAAGCCUUACAACUGCUCCCUGUGCAGAAAGGGUUUUAACCUGUUAGGGGACCUGAAACGGCAUGAGAGAAUACACACAGGGGAGAAGCCUUACAACUGCGCCCAGUGUGGAAAGAGUUUUACUCACUUAUGUAGCCUGAAAACACAUGAGAGAAUACACACAGGGGAGAAGCCUUACCACUGCUCCCAGUGUGGAAAGGGUUUUAUCCAGGUAGGGGCCUUGAAACAACAUGAGAGAAUACACACACAGGGGAGACGCCUUACCACUGCUCCCAGUGUGGAAAUAGUUUUACCCAGUUAUUGCACCUGAAAGGCCAUAAGAGAGUGCACACGGGAGAAGCCUUAUUGCUGGUCCCAGUGCGGAAAGUGUUUUACAGAGUUAAAUGAUAUGUGAGAACACACAGGAGAAGCCUUUGAGUUUUAAUCAGUUAGGUAACAUGAGAACACAUGAGAUAAAACACACAGGAGAUAAGGAUGUAGGCUGCUGCUGAACAAUAGGACAUAGGACAGGUUCAGGCCCAAUACAUGGUGGGACAGUAGUCCCCAGAGACUCUUAAUGUGUAUUGACUUUCCAGUGUUUUCCCUACUGCAUGUAUUGUAGUGGAUUUGUUUGCUGACUUCACAAAAUAAAUGUCCAUGUAAAUGG